AGGACGAACGCUGGCGGCGUGCUUAACACAUGCAAGUCGAGCGGUAAGGCCUUUCGGGGUACACGAGCGGCGAACGGGUGAGUAACACGUGGGUGAUCUGCCCUGCACUCUGGGAUAAGCCUGGGAAACUGGGUCUAAUACCGGAUAUGACCUGCUCUCGCAUGGGGGUGGGUGGAAAGAUUUAUCGGUGCAGGAUGGGCCCGCGGCCUAUCAGCUUGUUGGUGGGGUAAUGGCCUACCAAGGCGACGACGGGUAGCCGACCUGAGAGGGUGACCGGCCACACUGGGACUGAGACACGGCCCAGACUCCUACGGGA
rnacentral:rRNA from 1 species